rnacentral:rRNA from 1 species
GACGAACGCUGGCGGCGUGCUUAACACAUGCAAGUCGAACGGAAAGGCCCUGCUUUUGUGGGGUGCUCGAGUGGCGAACGGGUGAGUAACACGUGAGUAACCUGCCCUUGACUUUGGGAUAACUUCAGGAAACUGGGGCUAAUACCGGAUAGGAGCUCCUGCUGCAUGGUGGGGGUCGGAAAGCUUCGGCGGUUGGGGAUGGACUCGCGGCUUACCAGCUUGUUGGGGGGGUAGUGGCUUACCAAGGCUUUGACGGGUAGCCGGCCUGAGAGGGUGACCGGGCACAUUGGGACUGAGGGAGGGCGCAGACUGCUACGGGGGGCAGCGGUGGGGAGUAUGGCACAGUGGGGGGACGCCUGAGGCGGAGACGCCGCGAGCGGGAUGACGGCCUUGGGGUUGUAAACCGCUUUCGGCUGUGACGAAGCGGGAGUGACGGUAAUGGGUGAAGAAGCACCGGCUAACUACGUG